rnacentral:rRNA from 1 species
UACGUAGGGGGCAAGCGUUGUCCGGAAUCAUUGGGCGUAAAGAGCGUGUAGGCGGCCCGAUAAGUCCGCUGUGAAAGUCCAGGGCUCAACCCUGGAAUGCCGGUGGAAACUGUCGGGCUAGAGUCCGGAAGAGGCGAGUGAAAUUCCUGGUGUAGCGGUGAAAUGCGCAGAUAUCAGGAGGAACACCAAUGGCGAAGGCAGCUCGCUGGGACGGUACUGACGCUGAGACGCGAAAGCGUGGGGAGCAAACAGG